GUCACAGGAAUCUUGUGGGAGAUAAGAAGAGGGUAGGGUCCUGAGGAUACAAAGGAGGGAAAGCUCAUUCCCAAGAAGGUGAAAGAUGUUUGGAAAAAUCAGCUUGCCCUUUUAUGCAGAGACAUUCAUUCCUUCCAUCUGAAACGACCAUGGAGAAAAUAGAGUCGAGGUGUAAUAGAGCUUAAAAUCAACUUUAUUAAAUUGAAUUUCUCCAGAAUUGAGAAGACAUCUCACUUUUUCUAUAGCCUUCAGGGAUGAAUAAGCAAGUUGGAUCAUUACCAGUAAUCCAGGGGAGCUGCUUUAAGUUGAAUAUAGACUUAAUGAACAUGGAGAAGUAUUUUUCAUAUCCUAUCUUCACUAAAUGAAUGAUAUUGAUGAAUUUUGUCUUGGAAAAACACAUUUAUGUGUUCAUAUAAUUCAUAUAAAAUCAAUUUUGAUAUGUGUUUUA